AAUUGAAUGACGAGAUUCACGACUCCGAGGAGAUUCUACGAUUAUGAUGAUUUCUCCGGCGAGAUUCGACGACUCCGGCGAGAUUUGAAGACGCUGACGUCCGACGAGAUUUGGCGAAGACUACAAGCUCAAACGAACAAAACAUGACGAAUGCGUAACAAAGGUGUGGCAAUGUCAACUGGGCUAAGCGUUUAAAAUGUAAUGUCUGCAACACCAAUAAACAUGGUCAGAAUGAAUGUGGUGUGCGGUAUGACUCAAUGUCAAUGACAACUUUCAUUUGUAUUGUUCUUUAACAGUAUUCGAGCUGAGGAUUGGUAUUAUAGAUGCUUUUGCGGUGAAUUUAGGAUACAUUUAUAAGAUUUUUGUUCGAUAAUGGUAGUCUUCGUGUCAGCUUAUUCAUCUUUAAACAUGGCCUCGUAGAUAACUGGAAAAGGGGAAACAAUAUUAUCUUCUGAAAUUUGACCGAAUGCUUUCUUUGGUAAUAUGUUCAGUAUGACAAAGCUCCUAAUGCAUCAAAAUGUGCUUUCUCACUUGAAAUGUUUUGGCCAAAUUAGUUUUGCAUUAAGAAACGUUAUGUUUCAGCCUGAUAGGCUGUUGUUCACUGUUCUCUUGAAAGACCUGUGCUUAUUCAUUUAUUUUCUCCAUAUAGGGGAGGUCGUGGUGGUGGCUACAAGGAAUUGGAUGAACAAGAAUUAGAGGAAACAAAGAGACGAAGGAGUGAGGCUGAAGAAGUAAUAGCAUAUGCUUCUAAUGCAGAGUUCUUUGUUACUUCUUUUGUUGCAUUUAGUUCUUUUAUAAAUGUUUAUAAAUCAUUUUUGAGUUCCUUGUACUCAUUUUGCCUAGCAUUCCUCAAAGACUUCCCAAGUUCACACAUUUAUAUGUUUUUUAUAGACAUAUGCGAUCCACUUUUGUUUGAAAACUUCUUUAUAAAAACUUAUAAAUAGUCCAGUUGUACUUUUAACAAUAUCCUAAAAUUCAGAUUUAUAAGGAAUUAUAGUUCUGUAAAAAUGUAGUGUUCACUAUCCGAAAAUCUUAAUCUUAACCAGAACUAUUCAAAUAACAAGUUAAGCCUUAUUUGUUUUUUUGGAUAACAGAAAGAAGCAAAUCCUAAAAUUAAUUGAACUCUUGUUUAAAUACUUCUUUAUAAAGAUUUAUAAAUCGUCGAGUUGUACUUUUAACAAUAUCUUGAAAUCUAGAUUUAUAUUUAUAAAGGUGUAAAAAAAUA